rnacentral:rRNA from 1 species
AGAGUUUGAUUCUGGCUCAGAACGAACGCUGGCGGCGUGGAUAAGACAUGCAAGUCGAACGAGAGAAUUGCUAGCUUGCUAAUAAUUCUCUAGUGGCGCACGGGUGAGUAACACGUGAGUAACCUGCCCCCGAGAGCGGGAUAGCCCUGGGAAACUGGGAUUAAUACCGCAUAGAAUCGCAAGAUUAAAGCAGCAAUGCGCUUGGGGAUGGGCUCGCGGCCUAUUAGUUAGUUGGUGAGGUAACGGCUCACCAAGGCGAUGACGGGUAGCCGGUCUGAGAGGAUGUCCGGCCACACUGGAACUGAGACACGGUCCAGACACCUACGGGUGGCAGCAGUCGAGAAUCAUUCACAAUGGGGGAAACCCUGAUGGUGCGACGCCGCGUGGGGGAAUGAAGGUCUUCGGAUUGUAAACCCCUGUCAUGUGGGAGCAAAUUAAAAAGAUAGUACCACAAGAGGAAGAGACGGCUAACUCUGUGCCAGCAGCCGCGGUAAUACAGAGGUCUCAAGCGUUGUUCGGAAUCACUGGGCGUAAAGCGUGCGUAGGCUGUUUCGUAAGUCGUGUGUGAAAGGCGCGGGCUCAACCCGCGGACGGCACAUGAUACUGCGAGACUAGAGUAAUGGAGGGGGAACCGGAAUUCUCGGUGUAGCAGUGAAAUGCGUAGAUAUCGAGAGGAACACUCGUGGCGAAGGCGGGUUCCUGGACAUUAACUGACGCUGAGGCACGAAGGCCAGGGGAGCGAAAGGGAUUAGAUACCCCUGUAGUCCUGGCAGUAAACGGUGCACGCUUGGUGUGCGGGGAAUCGACCCCCUGCGUGCCGGAGCUAACGCGUUAAGCGUGCCGCCUGGGGAGUACGGUCGCAAGAUUAAAACUCAAAGAAAUUGACGGGGACCCGCACAAGCGGUGGAGUAUGUGGCUUAAUUCGAUGCAACGCGAAGAACCUUACCUGGGCUUGACAUGUAAUGAACAACAUGUGAAAGCAUGCGACUCUUCGGAGGCGUUACACAGGUGCUGCAUGGCCGUCGUCAGCUCGUGUCGUGAGAUGUUUGGUUAAGUCCAGCAACGAGCGCAACCCC